rnacentral:misc_RNA from 1 species
GAGAAAUGAAGAAGAAGCAGUAGCGGAGCACCAUCAACAGCCACGCUGAAACCUAACUGAAGCAGACGAGAGAUAAAAAUUUUAUACAAAAUUCUAUGGAGAAACCAUCGCCUCCAUCAUCACCAUCGACCUCCUUUGAUGGCUCCAGAGAACUUCAGUGCGUUGGGACACUCGAAAUCGUUCGACCCAAACCUGUCGGUUUUCUCUGCGGUUCUAUUCCUGUACCAACUGAUAAAUCCUUUCACGCCUUCAAUUCUGCUCUCGUCCCUUCUCGCCAAACCGUGAGUGCACCGAGGUAUCGGAUGCUGCCGACGGAGACGGAUUUGAAUACGCUUCCGGUGGUUUCCAACUUGCCGGAGAAGGUUCUUCCCAUUGGUGCUGUACAGUCUAAGACAACUGGAGAAUUACCUUGGGAAGGAGAUGCUGUUUCAUCAAAUCUUACAAGGAAAUGUGAAGCCCUUGCUGUGUCUGGUUUGGUGGAGUAUGGAGAUGAGAUAGAUGUGAUUGCUCCCACAGACAUUCUGAAGCAGAUCUUCAAAAUGCCAUAUUCUAAGGCUCGAAUAUCAAUUGCAGUUCGUCGUAUUGGACAGACUCUGGUUCUUAAUACUGGGCCUGAUGUUGAAGAGGGAGAAAAGUUGGUCAGAAGACACAAAAAUCAAUCCAAAUGUGCUGAUCAAUCUUUAUUUCUGAAUUUUGCCAUGCAUUCAGUGAGAAUGGAGGCUUGUGAUUGCCCACCAUCUCAUCAUUCUUCAUCAGGGGCCCAAUCAAACUCAUCUGUACUUCCUGGGGCUGAUACAUCACAUUUUGUGGGGCAGAAUGAUGGUACAACUGAGAAUGAGGGAUACAACCAUUAUUCAGAGUUUCCACAGGUUAAACAAGGUGGCUUAUUUUGGGAAAGUAAAAAGAAUAAAAGAAAUAAAGGCCAUCAUCCUGUGCAAAAGGCUUCACAUAUUGGUGAAAAGCCCAGAUACUCAGUGCAAGAAUCUGAAAAGCAUAAAAGAGUCAGUAAUGAUGGAUUUUUAAGGGUUCUGUUUUGGCAGUUUCACAAUUUCCGAAUGCUCUUGGGCAGUGACUUGCUUCUGUUCAGUAAUGAAAAAUAUGUUGCUGUGAGCUUGCAUUUGUGGGAUGUCACAAGACAGGUCACACCAUUAACUUGGCUUGAAGCCUGGCUUGACAAUGUAAUGGCAAGUGUGCCUGAGUUGGCCAUCUGUUAUCAUCAAAAUGGUGUUGUUCAGGGUUAUGAACUUCUUAAAACAGAUGAUAUAUUUCUCCUGAAAGGUGUAUCUGAAGAUGGUGCUCCCGCUUUUCAUCCUCAUGUUGUCCAGCAAAAUGGUCUUUCUGUUAUGAGGUUCCUUCAAGAAAACUGCAAGCAAGAUCCUGGUGCUUAUUGGGUACAAAAAUAUAUUUUUUUUAUGUAAUUAAUUUCUAUAUUUUUUCACCAAAAAAAUUGUUAGUGAGCAUUGUUUUUAGUAUCUUAAUUCAUCUUUUCACAGCUUUAUAAAAGUGCUGGUGAAGAAGUUAUUCAACUUUUUGAUCUUUCUGUUAUUCCCAAGAACCACACCUCCAACAAUUGCGAUGAUAGCUCAAGCUCUCUACCUUCUUUAUUAAAUAGAGGGCGAAGUAAUUCCUUGUUUUCAUUGGGAACACUUCUUUAUCGAAUUGCUCAUAGGCUUUCCCUUUCCAUGGCACCCAAUAAUAGGGCUAAGUGUGCAAGUUUCUUCAGAAAAUGUUUGGAUUUCCUGGAUGAGCCAGAUCAUCUUGUCGUCCAUGCAUUUGCUCACGAACAAUUUGCAAGACUCCUUUUGAAUCAUGAUGAAGAGCUGGAAUUGAAUUUAACAUCUGAAUCACUUCCAGUAGAAUAUGAAGUGACUGUUCCAGUAGAAUCCCUGGAUUCUUCUUGUAGUUUCCCUGAGGCUGUUGUUUCUGAAAAUUUCUCCUCACCAGUUUUAGAAGACAUACUUAAUGAAGCUGGAAAAAGCUUUAAUCAUGUAAAAUCAGAAACUUCAGUAAAGAUGACAUUGGAGUCAAAUGUAUCUACCUGCAGAAAUUUGAUAGCAUCAAGUGACGCGGAAUCAAAAGAUUCAGAAGGACAGCAGACCACUUCCAUUGAUCAUGAAAAGUUUGCAGUUUGUAAAAUGUCCCCACCAUCUGCAUGUGUGGUUCAAACUAUUGCUGAUCCAAUCUCCUCUAAGUUAGCUGCAGUACAUCAUGUUUCUCAAGCUAUUAAGUCUCUCAGAUGGAUGCGCCAGCUACA